AGACACUAGAAAGGAGAGAACCUCAAUUGCUGAGGCCCGUGCUUCGCUCUGUGUCCUUUGUCCUAUAGCAGGGGCCUCCCCUAAUUGGGGACGUGGUCACCAUGUUCUCCUGCACAAAGGCCUAUGAAGACCAGAAUUACUCAGCUCUGAAGCGGGCCUGUCUGCGCAGGAAGGUGCUGUUCGAGGACCCCCACUUCCCUGCCACCGACGACUCACUCUACUAUAAGGGUACCCCAGGGCCCACAGUCAGGUGGAAGCGGCCUAAGGAUAUCUGCGAUGAUCCCCGGCUCUUCGUCGAUGGCAUCAGCUCGCAUGACCUGCACCAGGGCCAGGUGGGCAACUGCUGGUUUGUGG
rnacentral:lncRNA from 1 species